GGCAGAUCGCCGUGAGGACGUGGAGUGGGGAGGAUAGUCAGACCCCCAAAAGGCAUCAGGGCCGAUAAAACUAUCACAAACGCGGUUAGGCUGAGAGAGUGUGACAGAUCACCAAGCAAAUUUCCAUGGCCAAGUGGGGAUUUGAACCUAAGCUUCCCUAGUCUGACAUUCUACCAGUAUACACACAGAAUCCACAGUGAUGAUGGCUUGGAACCUUGCCUAGCUUUUCAGCUGGGAGUCUCGCCUGAGGUCAACAGUUGAAGGACACCAUAGCUUUGGCAGUUCCUCGUAACUUACACUGGCAAUUCUGAGGAUGCCUUCAGAGGAAAAGAAACCUUCCUGAAAGCAAUCUUAAGACUAUGAGCCCCCCAGCAAGGGGCAGUCAUGACACUGAGGACUUGGCAGAUUCUGAAGAUGUAAAGAAGGUAUGGGAUGUGAAGAAGGGGGUGGUAGAUGCCUCUCAUCCCAGCUGAGUCCCCCCUCCGGGCCUUUGGGAAUUUCAGUUGCUAUUUCUACAAGAUUCCCAACACUGAAUUGGGAAGUAGAAUGACACUUGUACACAUUUGAAAGAAACCCUUGAAUGUCUGACCAUGACUCUUUGAAAAAGAACUCUUUUAAAACGGGAUAUUUUGGAUCUAGAUGACCCGUCAGAACCAAGAACUAAUCACAGUCACUCAUGGGACUCUCUGAUACUACAAGGAAGGAGUGCAUAUGGAUCUGAAUUUUCAUUGUUCUAUAUGUAUUAUGGACUAUAUGAUUUUUUGACUUGUUGAUAUAUGAUUUUGUAGGUGCUAUCUAUACAUUUACACUUUAAGGAUGUAUGUGCAAUAUACCGUCGACCAAAUGAAGAAUUCCUUUUGGGACAAGUAUUUGAGCACUAGCACUUUUCUAUUUUGAAAUAAGCUAUCUUUAGCCCAAAUGGUUUGUUUAUACAUACGGCACUUUAAGAGGGGUUUUCCUUAGUACAGAGUGAAAAACUUUGAGGUUGGAUUAAUUGGGUAUGUUAACUAAGGAGUGUAAGUGAUGUUGCUGUAAGUAAAAACCAAGUAUCAGUUUGUCUUGCUCAUAACACUUGUAUUUAUUGUUGGCGUUAAGAGUAUCACAUAGUAAGAUUUUGAGGCUUGAACUUGCUGCCAGAUCUCUGCAGAGAUGGUAAGCACCGCGGUGACCCCAUUACUAUAGAGUAGACUCUUCCUCUGGAAUGCAGAGGUCCUCCCUCUAUGCAGUUUUUUGUUGACAGCAGAGCAUGAUAGAAAGAGAACCCAAACCCGUAAAUAGGAGGAUGUUUUCUGCGUAGAAAUGGCAUGCGUAUGGUUUCUCUCUUGCUGUUGUGGCUGCAGAUCCAAACUAUGUGAGUGUGUCUCAUUUCCAACCCGCCUAGUUCCUUGUUUGUUAUUUACUCUACUUUAUUACACUUUUAUCUUCACCACAUGAGAGUAGCUAGAACCUCUGGCCUUUCUCAUCAUCGUCAUCAUCCAUUUUGUCAACCUACCAAUGUGGUUCAAUUCACUCCUGAUUUAUGAUACCAGGCUUCUCUUUGAUCAGUUCCAUUCCCCCCCCCUCCUUUUGUAAUUUUCUGUGCAAAAAUGUGGGAAAUGGUUUUCUCUCUUCCCAUUGUAUCAAAGAAAGUGAACUCUGACCCACAAAAGCUCAUACUGGAACAAAGGUUAUUAGU